GCUAGUUGGUGGGGUAAAGGCCUACCAAGGCGAUGAUGGGUAGCCGGCCUGAGAGGGUGUACGGCCACACUGGGACUGAGAUACGGCCCAGACUCCUACGGGAGGCAGCAGCUAAGAAUAUUCCGCAAUGGACGAAAGUCUGACGGAGCGACGCCGCGUGGAUGACGAAGGCCGAAAGGUUGUAAAAUCCUUUUGUCGAGGAAGAAUAAGCUAGGGAGGGAAUGCCCUGGUGAUGACAUGAAUCGAUGAAUAAGCCCCGGCUAACUACGUGCCAGCAGCCGCGGUAACACGUAGGGGGCGAGCGUUGUUCGGAAUUACUGGGCGUAAAGGGCAUGUAGGCGGUUCGAUAAGCCUGGCGUGAAAUGCUGCAGCUUAACUGCAGCACUGCGUUGGGAACUGUUGGGCUAGAGUUACGGAGAGGGAGCUGGAAUUCCAGGUGUAGGGGUGAAAUCUGUAGAUAUCUGGAAGAACACCAAAGGCGAAGGCAAGCUUCUGGCCGAUAACUGACGCUGAGGUGCGAAAGUGUGGGGAUCAAACAGGAUUAGAGACCCUGGUAGUCCACACUGUCAACGAUGUGCACUAGGUGUUGGUACAGUAGUAUCAGUA
rnacentral:rRNA from 1 species